AGGGGAUGCCUCCGUGCUGCAAUGGCAGUAAAAACAAUUGCUACUGAAACACCACCCACGUUUCCUCUUUUGCUGGACACGGCUCCCUAUUAAAGUGUGUACAUGGCGUCGGGGAGGGGCACGCUCAAGAAACAGCAAGAACCACACUUCCUAGAGGCCACCCAGCCUCCACAUUCUGUUCAAUCAGCAUUCCCUUGACAUAUGGCUCACCAGGGCCACUCCCGGCCAGAACUCCGCCAGAGCAUCUGAUGGGACCACUGCACCCGCUGUUUGCCAACAGCAAAGUUGGACAGAGCUGCUGUCCUCAAGGCCCCUCGACAAGGAAGUCCUCCUGGAUGCCCAGCUCUGGAGUCAUCUCUGUGGUAUACUAGGAUUCCAGUUCCAACUUUCUCUGGAACCAGUUGGGUCAUCACAGGUCACGAGAGCAGAUGCCUACAGAGAGUGAGGAGAGGCGGGACCUGCCACAAACUGCAAGCUUGCAGGUGAAGAUGGCUGUCCAGCUGCGAUGCUCUCACACCCAGGACCCACAAUCGAAAGAACCAAGGACGUGAGAUCACAGUUAGAGCCUGCUGUGUAAGUCGUGUUUCCCCCAACGACUGGGACCUCCUGGCCAGCAGGGAGAGGCCUGAGUCAUCUCCGGGUCCUCUGCCCCUGGCCAAAGCAAAGACCAAAGCCCUGGCCACACAGACCUGGGGCAGGGCAAAUGAGAAAAUCAAAGGGGUGGGUGUUCACCCUCUGGGGAAGUGAGGCAGAAAUUGGGGGUCCCAGGGCAGAGAUGAUCAACAGCCUGAGAGGGGGCUCUCAGGCAGGCCCUGGAGAGAGGCCGCUGAGCUCAGACAGCAUGGGAGGAUCAGGGCCUUGCUGGAGAGGAGGGACUGGGGAGGGGUUCCGGUUGGCAACGGGCUCUAACAGCAAACUGGCCCCAGAAUGGGCCCAGGUGUCCUUGGAUGCUUGGGUGGAAAAGGUAGGCAGAGCUUGGAGAGGCCAUUUCAGGUUGGGGGCCGGGAGUGCAAUGGCGGGAGGACAGAAUGCAUACGUGGGGUUGAGGACAGGUGAGGGCAGGAGCCUGACUGUGCUCAUGGGCAGAGAGCCCAGGUCUGGCAGGAAGAGGCUGUGCUGAGGCUGCAGCGGAGGGAUGGGAAGGCAGAUGGGGGACAGGGGACAGGGACUUCAGAGGAAGAGGAACUGGGGACUGAAGGAGCCUUGCCUCUCUCAGUAAGGGCAAAAGUUGAUCUUUGGGGUCGCGCCCUGGGUGUACCCUCCUAACAGCAUCUUCUGGCCUUUGCGGCCUCUAUUUGGGCAUUCGGCCUGGCUCAGACCUUGGACCCAGUAGUCAGUCCCCCCUCCCCUUUCAUUCCCUCACCCUGUCCUGCCCCAGAGCACAGAGACAGGGGGAUGCACCCCUUGAAUUCCAGGGCUGAUGGGUGGGACCCGGCACCCCAAGGGCUCUCUAGGUGGGGACGUUCGG
rnacentral:lncRNA from 1 species